ensembl:lncRNA
GAAUAAUUUAAUUGUAUACAGAGUCUCUCUGUGCUAGGCCAUCACAUUAUACAUGGAUGCAAAAAAAAAAAAAAAGAGUUUACUUCCCUUUCUUCAUAGUUAUCAAUCAUCUAUAUCAAGACAUACAACUUUCAGAAAUAAUGUUACAGAGCAACACUGUCAAGCUCUGCUGCUAGCAGAUGAAUGCUGCACUUCUGACACAGCUGAAGCUGCUGCAGGUGAGAAGUAAUCCUGUGGCACUGGACAGUUGCAAGGCUGAGGAUCUACCAACAAAAUUAUUUCAUCUUUUCACAUUUCUGUGAAACCUCGUGAUGGAUUUGGAGCUGCCUGAAUCUGAGUUCCAUCCUGAGCUGGAACUCUAUUCCUCAUAUUGUACCUCCCAAGUUCUUUGCUGUGACCUGAGCAGGUUUUGUCCAAAGAUAUUUUAAUCAUUAUCACUCGUCACUCCAAAAUGGUCAGACACAGUUCAGAGCUGUAUUCUUCCUGUGAUUUUUGUUGGUCAACAGAGGGCCAGAGACAGAUCUGUACAUCACUUCAGUCCAACAAACCCUGUUGUGAGAGGCUUCCCUGGCAUUUAAGUGAGAUCCAUCACUGUAACAUGCACCUCCCAAGUGUUAUCACUGAAUUGUUUGCCAGCGUAUGUCUGAAUCAAAGAGAAGGGGCAGAAAGUGUCCUGGCUGAUGUGCAACCUUUUAAUGAUUUUCUUCUGCAAUCACUCACAGAAUGCCAUUUGAGGAGCUGUGAAAGAAUGACUUUUAAAACCCAAGCUAUUCUAUGAUUCUGUGAUUGUAAAACAAGACCUCAGACCUUCAUGAUCAUUUUCUUUACAUCAAAAGCUCAUUCUGAAUCUCAAGUGUAUUAAUUGCUCAAUCUUAAUUCUUCAGUCCAAAAAAAAAAAAAAAAAAAAAAAAGAAUUAAUCCAAAACAAAAAGAACCCAAAUCUUUGAAAAAUAACCUAACUAGUCAGUGAUCCCAGCUAGUUGGAUUAGUGAUCAGGCUUGAUCACAGGUACUCAAAAUAUUCUCUUCUGUGACUGCUGUGACUAAUGUAUCAGGGCAGAAAUGAGUACUGCCUUGAAUUACUUUCCCACCAAAUUAAAGGCAUUGAGUUGCCAGUAUAUCUCAGGCUUUUCAUUAAAUGCCGCUGAAAUCUGCAUCUUAAAAUCGUGGAGUUUUCUUUUUUUUUUUUUUUUUCUUGCUCUGAGGUUCAUUUGAAAAGUGAUUUCAGUUGUUUCUGUCAACAUCAAAAACAUUCAGCAAAUUAUACUUACAUCUCGUUUCAAAAAUAGUUUAGUAAGGAUUGAGCUGAGUUUUUUUCCUUCUUUUCUUUUUAUGUCAUUGCUUAUAUUUUGUAAUUGUACAGGACAUUUGUCUAUGAGAUUUGCUAUUUUACUGCCAACACAACUGUUUACUAGGUAUAUGUAUUUGCUUACAGUUUCAACUGUUUGUCAGCACACAUACACUCAAAAGUAUAAGUAUUGUACAAGUAUUUUAU